rnacentral:rRNA from 1 species
AAUCAACGCUGGCGGCGUGCCUAACACAUGCAAGUCGAACGAGAAAGUGGAGCAAUCCAUGAGUAAAGUGGCGACCGGGUGAGUAACACGUGACUAACCUACCCUCGAGUGGGGGAUAACUCCGGGAAACCGGAGCUAAUACCGCAUAACAUCGCAGGAUCAAAGCAGAAAUGCGCUUGAGGAGGGGUCGCGGCUGAUUAGCUAGUUGGUAGGGUAAUGCCUACCAAGGCUGAGAUCGGUAGCCGGCCUGAGAGGGCGCACGGCC